rnacentral:rRNA from 1 species
UCUGGGAUUAGAUACCCUGUUAUUUGAAAUGUAACUUUAAAGACUAAGGUAGUAUUAGAUAUGUUCUUUAAACUUAAAAAAUUUGGCGGUAUUUUAGUCUAUUCAGAGGAACCUGUUUUAUAAUCGAUAAUCCACGAUGGACCUUACUUAAGUUUGUAAAUCAGUUUAUAUACCGUUGUUAUUAGAAUAUUUUAUAAGAAUGUUAAUUUUCAUAAUUUUUGUAUAAAAAGUAUAUCAAAUCAAGGUGUAGCUUAUAUUUAAGUAUAAAUGGGUUACAAUAAAUUUAUUUAAGCGGAUAUAAAUUUGAAAUAUUUAUUGAAGAUGGAUUUGAUAGUAAAAUUAUAAAGAUAAAUAAUUUGAUUUUAGCUCUAAAAUAUGUACAAAUCGCCCGUCACUCUCUGA